AAGUCGUAACAAGGUAACCGUAGGUGAACCUGCGGAAGGAUCAUUAAAAAGAUUAAUUACACACACCGUGCAUUAAACAAGAUUCAUACAGAUACAAGUUGUAAAAAAACAACUUUUAGCAACGGAUCUCUAGGUUCUC
rnacentral:misc_RNA from 1 species